rnacentral:rRNA from 1 species
CAAUAGCGUAUAUUAAAGUUGUUGCGGUAAAAAAGCUCGUAGUUGGAUUUCUGUUGAGAGCGACCGGUCCAUACCAUGUAUGCGCAUCUGGCUUGCUCUCGGCAUCCUCUCGGUAGACGUUGCUGCGCUUGAUUGCGUGGUGCGGAUCCCGGGACUUUUACUUUGAGGAAAUUAGAGUGUUCACGGCAGGCUUUCGCCAGAAUACAUUAGCAUGGAAUAAUACUAUAGGAUCUUGGUUCUAUUUUGUUGGUUUCUAGAAUUGAGAUAAUGAUUAAUAGGGACAAUUGGGGGCAUUCGUAUCAACACGUCAGAGGUGGAAUUCUUGGAUUGUGUUGCGACGAACUACUGCGAAAGCAUUUGCCAAGGAUGUUUUCAUUGA